AGCAUUUGGCAGAUGAGGAAUUUUAAAAUGUUUUGCUGCUUCCACGAUUUUCAGGGACAUCUUAGCUAUUUCUGAUGCGUGGUUUGGAAUACGCUUGGGUAACCCUGAUGCAACCAUGUCUAAAAUAAAACACAGAAAUUUUCUAUAAUUUCAUCAAAUACUGUGUAGAGUCUGUUCAGUAAUCCUACAACUUCUAAUGCCGAACUUUUGGAGCAUAGUACUGUAAAACCAACAAUAUCGCUGAAGUAUAUGGUGCAUUGGUCAAACGAUUCUGCCUGCACAGAUAGUCCGGUCUUUAAGGAAUCAGCUACUGAUCUAGGUUGGUAGAACACAAAAAUAUCCCAGUGUCACGUGACAUAGUUUCUUUUACUGUCCUACGUCCAGCCUGGGAAUAGUAUAUCUAAUAUGUCAAUAUAUAUGUUCCUGGUCCAGCAAGAAAACAGCAACAAAAAAACCUAUUUAGUCGAGACCAUUUGUAAAUCCUGGAUUGGUUGUAUAAAAAGAUUUGUAUAUAGAUUUGGUGUAUUAGCAGACAGUCAAAUAACGAUAAGUGCACUUUUAAGAAUAUGUUCUUACAAUUAUAACAUAAUAAUUGUAUUUAACCGUAAAUUAAUAUUUAAUUGUAUUAAGAACCUCUUAAUGUGUAGUUAAGCGCAAUAACUGAUCAUUGAAUAGAAAAAGUACUGCAUGUAUUUCUCACACGCAACUGGCAGGCAAUUUAAAACGAAAGUAUUUCUGUUUUCAAUUUAAAACACAAUCACGCGAUCAGUAGCGUAUCAAACAUAUUGAUUCAGUAUUAAUACAUAUAUUCUGUCAAAAAUCUGUUGCAAAAUUUGUUCAUGUCUUUAGA